AGCAGCCGCGGUAAUUCCAGCUCCAAUAGCGUAUAUUAAAGUUGUUGCAGUUAAAAAGCUCGUAGUUGAAUUUCGGGGUCAGCAGGUUGGUCGUGCCAAUGGUAUGCACUGGCCUUGCUGAUUCCUCCCUCUUGAUGAGCCGUAAUGCCAUUAAUUUGGUGUUGCGGGGAAUCAGGACUGUUACUUUGAAAAAUUAGAGUGUUUAAAGCAGGCAAGCGCUUGAAUACAUUAGCAUGGAAUAAUGAAAUAGGACGUUCGAUCCUAUUUUGUUGGUUUCUAGGAUUGACGUAAUGAUUAAUAGGGAUAGUUGGGGGCAUUAGUAUUCAAUUGUCAGAGGUGAAAUUCUUGGAUUUAUUGAAGACUAACUACUGCGAAAGCAUUUGCCAAGGAUGUUUUCAUUAAUCAAGAACGAAAGUUAGGGGAUCGAAGACGAUCAGAUACCGUCGUAGUCUUAACCAUAAACUAUGCCGACUAGGGAUCGGAUGAUGUUAAUUUUUAAUGACUC
rnacentral:sRNA from 1 species